AGGUGCGCUGGUCAUGGUGUCUGUUCACAGCAGUAAAACCCUAAUUACAACACUUACAAUUAUAUUAGUAACAUUUAAUAUUUUUUAAAAUCUUCAAAGUAAAUAUGAAUGUGGUAUACAUGACAUUUGCAUAUUACAAAAUUCACAAAUCUUCUAAAUGAUGUCUUGCAUUGUCAUGCUAUAGAAUUAAACCCCAAUUCAAAAUGAGGCAUGCUUCUGUGAUAUUUAUGUGUGGGUUGACUCCCUGGAACUUUCAUUUUUUAAGUUGGUUACUCUGUGGUGCUUACUUAACACACAAUCUUCCUGCCUGAGCCUUCCAAAUGCUGUGGUCAAAUUGGUGAUCAACACGUUUAUAUCUGUUCAGUAUGUUUUCUCUGAAAUGCUAGGGUUUAGAACGUUUUCUGAGUAUGGAAUUUUAACUCUUGCAUCUAUAUCAGAAAUCUUGAGGGGGUUCUGAGAAUGAACAUGAAAUCCAUUUGUUAAUUGUAUACAUAACCUAAAGUUAGAUUUGUUUGCUACUUUAAUACAUUUCCAAUUUCAUUAUGAGGUAAGACAUGGCCUUUUCUACCAAAUGACAUCUGAGCAUUUUAAAAUUCUUAAUUCUGAAUUUUACAUUAGGGAACUUCAAUCUAUGUUCUUUUCUGUUUUAUAAGAUGCAUAUGUAUACACAUCUGUUUUGUAUAUGUGUUUGUAUAUAAACUUUUCUGUUUGAGUCAUUAACAAUGAAGGUGUAAUAUCUAUGCUCUAGUUUUAUACUACCAGUUUCAUAAUAUUUUUCUUUUUGUGUACGCUGUGUGUGUGUGUGUGUGUGUGUGUGUGUGUGUGUGUGUACGCACGUGUGUGCACAUGUACACGGUCACCCACACAAGCAAGCAUGUAUGUAUACAUGUUUGCCUCUACAUGUGAAGUUGGGUGAAUUCUUCAACUACUUUUUAGCUUAGUUUUUUAGUCAGGGUUUCCCACUGAAUCUGAGAUUCAUAGUCAUCUCAGUUCGCUGACCAAUGAGUUCUAGAGAAUUCUCCUGUCUCUAUAACUGUAGCCUGGGAAUUAUAGAUAUACAUCAUGGUAUCUUGCUUUAAUUUUUCUGAUUAUUUUUAGAUUUAUUUAUUUUGUGUAUAUGAGUAUAUUGUAGGUGUUUUCUUACACACCAGAAAAGGGCAUUGCAUCUCUUUAAAGAUAAUUGUCAGCCACAAAGUGGUUGCUGGGAAUUGAACUCUGGACCUCUGGAAGAGCAGUCAGUGCUCUU
rnacentral:lncRNA from 1 species